rnacentral:rRNA from 1 species
GGUUAAGUGAAUAAGGGCGUACGGUGAAUGCCUUGGCACUAGGAGCCGAUGAAGGACGGGACGAACACCGAUAUGCUUCGGGGAGCUGUAAGUAAGCUUUGAUCCGGAGAUUUCCGAAUGGGGGAACCUCAUUGUUUUUAUCGACAAUGGUCCACUCAGUGAACACAUAGCUGAGUGGAAGGUAGACGUGGUGAACUGAAACAUCUCAGUAGCCACAGGAAGAGAAAGAAAAAUCGAUUUCCCGAGUAGCGGCGAGCGAAACGGAAAGAGGCCAAACCAGCGUGCUUGCAUGCUGGGGUUGUAGGACUGAUGGACGGGAGUGAAUGAGCUAGUCGAACGCCAUGGAAAGGGCGAUCAGAGAGGGUGACAAUCCCGUAGGCGAAAGCUCAGCCACCUCAUUCAGUAUCCUGAGUACGGCGGUACACGUGAAAUUCCGUCGGAAUCCGCCAGGACCAUCUGGCAAGCCUAAAUACUCCCUAGUGACCGAUAGUGAACCAGUACCGUGAGGGAAAGGUGAAAAGCACCCCGGAAGGGGAGUGAAAGAGUACCUGAAACCGUAUGCCUACAAGCAGUCAGAGCCCGUUAAGGGGUGAUGGCGUACUUUUUGUAGAACGGACCGGCGAGUGACGAUAGCAAGCAAGGUUAAGCUGAAGAAGCGGAGCCACAGCGAAAGCGAGUCUGAAGAGGGCGUUGAGUUUGUUGUCGUCGACCCGAAACCAAGUGAUCUACUCAUGUCCAGGCUGAAGGUGUGGUAAAACACACUGGAGGGCCGAACCCACGUCUGUUGAAAAAGGCGGGGAUGAGGUGUGGGUAGCGGUGAAAUUCCAAUCGAACUUGGAGAUAGCUGGUUCUCUCCGAAAUAGCUUUAGGGCUAGCCUCGGAUGAUGACUAUUGGAGGUAGAGCACUGUUUGAUCGAGGGGUCCAUCCUGGAUUACCGACAUCUGAUAAACUCCGAAUGCCAAAUAGUUUAGUCCGGGAGUCAGACUGCGAGUGAUAAGAUCCGUAGUCGAAAGGGAAAGAGCCCAGACCACCAGCUAAGGUCCCAAAGUUUCAGUUAAGUGGAAAAGGAUGUGGGGUUGCUUAGACAACUAGGAUGUUGGCUUAGAAGCAGCCAUCAUUGAAAGAGUGCGUAAUAGCUCACUAGUCGAGUGACCCUGCGCCGAAAAUGUACCGGGGCUAAACUGAACACCGAAGCUGUGGAUCCGUAGGAUGGUAGGAGAGCGUUCUAUAGGCAGAGAAGCAUGAUCGUGAGGACAUGUGGAGCGUAUAGAAGUGAGAAUGCCGGUAUGAGUAGCGAAAGACGGGUGAGAAUCCCGUCCACCGAAUGACUAAGGUUUCCUGGGGAAGGCUCGUCCUCCCAGGGUUAGUCGGGACCUAAGCCGAGACCGAAAGGGAUAGGCGAUGGACAACAGGUUGAGAUUCCUGUACUUGUUUGAUUUGUUUGAGCGAUGGAAGGACACAGAAGGCUAAGCGGAGCGCGGAGAUGGAAAAACGCGUCCAAGCAAUGAGUGAGAAGGUGAGUGAAAGGCUUGCCUCAGACUUCAUGAGUUGUGACGGGGAGGGAAGUUUAGUACCGAAGCCGCCGACGUCACGCUGUCAAGAAAAGUUUCUAGUGAGAAUCAAACAACCCGUACCGCAAACCGACACAGGUAGUCGAGUGGAGAACACUAAGGUGAGCGAGCGAACUCUCGUUAAGGAACUCGGCAAAAUGACCCCGUAACUUCGGGAGAAGGGGUGCUGACCGCAAGGUCAGCCGCAGUGAAUAGGCCCAAGCGACUGUUUAUCAAAAACAUAGGUCUCUGCCAAAUCGAAAGAUGAUGUAUAGAGGCUGACGCCUGCCCGGUGCUGGAAGGUUAAGAGGAAGGGUUAGCGUAAGCGAAGCUCUGAAUUGAAGCCCCAGUAAACGGCGGCCGUAACUAUAACGGUCCUAAGGUAGCGAAAUUCCUUGUCAGGUAAGUUCUGACCCGCACGAAAGGCGUAACGAUUUGGGCACUGUCUCAACGAGAGGCUCGGUGAAAUUGUAGUACCAGUGAAGAUGCUGGUUACCCGCGACAGGACGGAAAGACCCCAUGGAGCUUUACUGUAGGUUGAUAUUGAAUGUUUGUGCCACAUGUACAGGAUAGGUAGGAGCCAUCGAAGUCGGGACGCUAGUCUCGAUGGAGGCACUGGUGGGAUACUACCCUUGUGGGAUGACCAUUCUAACCCGCGACCAUUAGCUGGUCGGGAGACAGUGUCAGUCAGGCAGUUUGACUGGGGCGGUCGCCUCCUAAAGUGUAACGGAGGCGCCCAAAGGUUCCCUCAGAAUGGUUGGAAAUCAUUCGCAGAGUGUAAAGGCAGAAGGGAGCUUGACUGCGAGACCUACAAGUCGAGCAGGGACGAAAGUCGGGCUUAGUGAUCCGGUGGUUCCGCAUGGAAGGGCCAUCGCUCAACGGAUAAAAGCUACCCUGGGGAUAACAGGCUUAUCUCCCCCAAGAGUUCACAUCGACGGGGAGGUUUGGCACCUCGAUGUCGGCUCAUCGCAUCCUGGGGCUGAAGUCGGUCCCAAGGGUUGGGCUGUUCGCCCAUUAAAGCGGUACGCGAGCUGGGUUCAGAACGUCGUGAGACAGUUCGGUCCCUAUCCGUCGCGGGCGUUGGAAAUUUGAGAGGAGCUGUCCUUAGUACGAGAGGACCGGGAUGGACACACCGCUGGUGUACCAGUUGUUCCACCAGGAGCAUGGCUGGGUAGCUAUGUGUGGACGGGAUAAGCGCUGAAAGCAUCUAAGCGUGAAGCCCCCCUCAAGAUGAGAUUUCCCAUACUUUGAAAGUAGUAAGACCCCUGAAAGACGAUCAGGUUGAUAGGUUUGGAGUGGAAGCUUAGCAAUAAGUGGAGCGGACAAAUACUAAUCGGUCGAGGACUUAUCCAA